rnacentral:rRNA from 1 species
CCUACGGGAGGCAGCAGUGGGGAAUAUUGGGCAAUGGAGGAAACUCUGACCCAGCGACGCCGCGUGCGGGAUGAAGGCCUUCGGGUUGUAAACCGCUUUCAGUAGGGAAGAAGCGAAAGUGACGGUACCUACAAAAGAAGCACCGGCUAACUAUGUGCCAGCAGCCGCGGUAAUACAUAGGGUGCAAGCGUUGUCCGGAAUUAUUGGGCGUAAAGAGCUCGUAGGUCGUUUGUUACGUCGGAUGUGAAAACCUGAGGCUCAACCUCAGGCCUGCAUUCGAUACGGGCAAACUAGAGUUUGGUAGGGGAGACUGGAAUUCCUGGUGUAGCGGUGGAAUGCGCAGAUAUCAGGAGGAACACCAAUGGCGAAGGCAGGUCUCUGGGCCAAUACUGACACUGAGGAGCGAAAGUCUGGGGAGCGAACAGGAUUAGAUACCCUGGUAGUCCAGACCGUAAACGGUGGGCACUAGUUGUGGGAACCUUCCACGGUUUCUGCGACGCAGCUAACGCAUUAAGUGCCCCGCCUGGGGAGUACGAUCGCAAGAUUAAAACUCAAAGGAAUUGACGGCNGAGACGNGCGACGACGACGACGAGGAGGAG